rnacentral:rRNA from 1 species
GACGGAGUGAGAGAGCGUUGUUCGGAAUUACUGGGCGUAAAGCGCACGUAGGCGGCUACAAAAGUCAGAGGUGAAAGCCCGGGGCUAAACCCCGGAACUGCCUUUGAAACUAGGUGGCUAGAAUCUUGGAGAGGUCAGUGUAAUUCCGAGUGUAGAGGUGAAAUUCGUAGAUAUUCGGAAGAACACCAGUGGCGAAGGCGACUGACUGGACAAGUAUUGACGCUGAGGUGCGAAAGCGUGGGGAGCAUACAGG